rnacentral:misc_RNA from 1 species
GAUGAGGAUGAUGAUUUUGAAUAUAAAGAGUCUAUGGGGAGGAAAUUGAUGUUCUUGAAAAAGGUGGAAGAAAAGGCAUCAAACAUGCAUGAAAACUUGGGAAAAGAGCAACUUGAGGUUACAGUUGGAGCCUUGGUUGUGUUGCCUUCAACCAUGGUGGUUCCAAAGGAAAGAUAACUAACUCUUUAUGUCCUAUUGUUUCCAUUGAUUUUAUUUG